UCAACUUUAAUUAAACGCCAAACAAAAAGAAAGAAAACUCAUCACGGCGGCAUCGUUACACGUUGGUGGUGUUUGGUGAGGUUAAGUGAAACUUUCUCUAACUUGACACCUCAAAAUGAAUCUCUCCCCUUGUUGGACCGUCUUCGUCCUCUUCGCCAUUUUUAGCCUCACUGAGAGCCUGCGCUACCCCUUGCUAUCUUAUGACCGCGGUGCACCUCGGAGGCCGAGCGCAGCUUCGAGUUCCGUCCAGUCUCAUUUCCCUUCGCCGCAGCAGCAGGAGCAGCAGGAGGCUCGCUCUGCACGGGUGCUGGUAAGAUGUCACCCGGACUCUAUGGAGAUCGUGGUUCAGGCUGACUUGUUCGACACCGGCUUUCUGGUGGACCCGGAACAUCUACGCCUCGGUUCCGAGCCGGCGAGUGGAAGUGGGUCGUGCCGUGCUGGCCAGUAUGGAGAUGACUGGACGGUAACCAUAUGGGCCAACCUCCAGGACUGUGGAACUCGGCUCUCGUCAACACACGACAAGAUAAUCUAUUCAAAUGUGCUGGUCUACUCACCUGAGCCAUCAUCUGAAGGCUUGUUUCGACUGGAUGGGGCGACCAUUCCGGUCGAGUGCCAUUUUGACAAGAGGUAUUCUGUGGCAAGCAUGUCAUUGGGCCCUGCCUGGGUACCUUCAGUCCUGGUGGCCUCAGCAGAGAAUCGCAUAGACUUCAAACUGCGCCUCAUGACUGACGACUGGCUGUUUGAGAGGGGCUCGCAUGCGUAUUUUGUGGGCGACCCGAUGCAUUUCGAGGUGUCCGCUGUGAUCCGCAAACACAAGCCCUUGCGCGUCUUUGUGGACCGUUGCGUCGCUACGGCCGGCCCGGACCCGGAUGCUGCCUUAAGAUACGACUUUAUUGAGCGUAACGGAUGUCUCUAUGAUGCCUUCCUGACAAACUCCAGCUCUCACUUCCUGUCCAGGGUUGAAGGGCACAAGCUUCAAUUUCUGCUUGAAGCGUUCCGGUUCUACCAGCAGCACAACACUCAGGUUUACAUCACUUGCUGGUUGAGGGCAGUUCCAGACUCAUUAGGGGUGACCUCUCAAAGCAGGGCCUGCUCUUUUAUCAACAACAGAUGGUGGUCAGCAGAUGGGGAGCAUGAAACGUGUAGGACCUGUGAUCCAUUGGUCCCCGCGAAGGAAAAAACUGCUACUACCAAGAAGCUGACCACAAAUUUGGAACCAAGUUUUGCACAGAACAAACCCAAGCAACCAGUUUCCUUUUUGUGGGUACGCCCAGGACAAGUCGAAAUGCACAAAUCUCAGUGGCCCUCGUCUGGUCUAAAGAAAACUCACUACACAACAGAGGGACUUGUCCAGUUUGGACCGCUAACUGUUGAAUAAACAGUCUUUAAUAUUCGCCAGGACUUCCUCUCUGGUAGCGCAUGGAGAAGCUAAGAUGAACUACACUGAUGCUUGGAACAUGACCGGUCGAUUUCCUGGGCGCCUGUUUACUUUCAUAGCAAAUGAAUACGAAUAGCACAUGCGAGUGGGACAUGCUGAGAGCGAGAUGCUUCGCUCUGUACUCACGAUGAUGAUGAUUCAGUGACUCGUCUUCAAUACAUCCUGCAUCUUCUGCCCGCUUUUCACUGGCAAUGUUUUUCCAGCGAUACAAUAUGUUGUCUCUCCUCACAGUGUGCACUUUUCUUGGCACGCACUCCAUCCACCGAUGCAGACCUGCCCUUUGUCCGAACGACCAGGACUGCUGUCCCCGCGGAAACACUACCGCUUGUUGUGACCCCCUGGAGGAAACAUCCUACUACCACAUCACCAUGACCUCUGAACCCGGACCACGGCGGACACCCGGCCGUCACGACUUCCCAGGAGCUGCUGGUCGAGAGCUCCACGCCGGACAGCCUCCUGGAAGGCAGAACCACGGCUCAUCUGCCCACGUAUGAGCAGUGCAAGCAUCUA